rnacentral:lncRNA from 1 species
UAUGGAUCUAAUAGCAAUAAAGAAAUAAUUAUUGAGAAAGAAGGAAACCUGGAUGAGCCAAAGAGCAUCGGUAGUGACAACGAUGCCCCACAUAAUAGUGGCUUGAACGUCGGUGAGCUGUAGACGUAGCCCAAGCUUAAGGAACUUCAACAAGGCCCUUUCUCCGGCUAUUCCUGAAAUCCCCACAUCUGAUUUGAAAAUGAAACCCUAGCCUCAAUUCCUUUGUCUUCCCUUCCCAAUUCCUUCCUCUUCACUUUAAUCCCCAAUUCCGAUUUGAAAAUGAAACCCUAAACCAAAUUCCUUCGUCUUCCCUUCCCGAUUUCUUCCUCUUCACUGCUGCAUUUGAAGUUAACACCAGAGACUCACAAAUGCAAAUAUCCCAAUUUUUAGGG